ensembl:lncRNA
AUGCUGAGCCCUCUAUUGUUCUUGGAUUUUAAUGUACAUAAAUCUUGUCUUCUCAAUUUAAUUGUAGUUUUCUUGAUUUCAGUAUUCUUUAAUUUUUUUUCUUUUAUUUGUUCUUUAAAUACUGUUGCUUUGAUUAACACCUUUCUAUCCCGGCCUCCUGCCCAGCAAAUUUAUGCUGGGCUCCAAUAUGGGGAUUGUAAAAAAUGUUCUCAAUAUUUCUUUGUCUUCCUAUUUUCCAGGUCUGAUUCUAGUGUGAAAAGCAAUAUUGAACAGAAAAUUGUCCCCAAGGAGCAAGAAAUGGAAGUUGAUCUCAAGAAAGACCAGCACAAAGAUGUUGUGAACCCACAUAAAAACUGUGGCCUGCCCAUUUCUCUACCCAUAUAUCCUGGUAUUCAAGCAAAAGAAAAUGCUAACUCUUGGACUCACGUACUUCAAAAUAAGAUUGUUACGCACAGCAAAAGCAAGAAGGAAGAGGAUUUAGAGGAAUUUGCCCUUAGUUUUCCAUACAGAUUAACCCGGCUAUCAACAGACUCUGAGAUGUCAAGAACUAAGCCAUGGGACGCUCAGAAGAUGCUGGGCCAACUUCGAGAGAAGCUGCCCCUUCAGAAAAACCUGCUGCCUACUCGAUCCAUCCCAAGCAAAGCGUAUGUACACUUUAAAUCCUUUCACUUUACCAUGCCUUAUUUCACCCUGUGCCUCAUUCAUAUCAAACUUACUCCCAUUCCUGUCUCUUUCACCUUUGAGACCUUGUUCUUUUCCCUUAGACUUAGAGGUCAUCUCUUUCACUUUCUUCAAGGCCCAACUCUAGUAUCAUCUCCUCCUAGAAACUUCUCCUGAUACUUGUAGUGUUCUGGUUAGUUUUCUGGAGGUCUUGGAGCAGCCUUCAUUUCAGCAGAUUAAUUACCACAAGAAUAGCCAGGGAUAAAGUCCAAAUUCUUUAUUAUCUCUUUCACAGUCUAAUUUCUUUGCCUGGGGCCCAAGCCAGCUUUCUUGAGGGUCCUCUAGAAUGUGUUUUGGUUUCUGUGGGGGAGGCAGGAGGACCACCACGACGGGCUCUGUCUUGAAGUCUGUCUCAGUCCCAGGGCUUGUGCUCCAGCCUCCAGCCACCACAAAGAUGGGAGAUGAAAUAAAUCUGUCUCAGCCUACCCUGGCUGAGUUUGUCCCAGAUUAUAUGCUCUGUUAUAAUUACGUUAUCAUAGGUGUGAAUCUUAUAAGUGUCAGUCUUGUAGAACUAUGUUAAGUACUAAGUACAUGUACUGAACUAGAGAAGUAUUUAAGCACCAUGCUAAACUAGAUAACCAUUGUCUCAUCAACUCCACUGACUUAACACCUUGUAGGAAUCCUUGUUCCAAGUAUAGAGUUCUGGCCCAUAACAGAUAACUCUCUUCUUCCUUCUUGUCUCCAUCCUCAUUCCUCCUACUUCAUACCUAAAAGAUAUUUAGCUUUCUUUGUUUUUCUCUCCUUUCUUUUUUACUUUCUCUUUUAUUUUGCUUCUCUCUCUCUCUCUCUCUUUCUCUCGGCUAUAAGGUGCUUUGGAAGCUAGGGUGUAAUGGGCCAGAACUCCAGAGAAGUGUUCUUAAGGCUCAGUAUGAUCCUUCAACAAGGUAUUAACUCGGUGGAAUUGAUAAGACAAUGGCUAUCUAGUUUUACAUGUACUUAGGACUUAUUAUAGUUCUACAAGAUUGACACCUAUGCUGAUGUAAUUAUAAUAGAGUAUAUCAGAGCCAACAAGGACUGGAGGAGAGACAUCUAUUCCGUGUCCCACCACCGUGGUGGCUGUCCUAUCCUCCCUCACCUCUCCACUGAGACGAAGCCCCGUCUGAAGGCCCUCCAGGAAGCUAGCCGAGCCCCAGGUGAAGGAGAGAGACUGUGAAGAAGUCAAUAAAGAAUUUGGACUUUAUCCCUGGCUAUUCUUGUGGUGAUUACUCAGCUGAAACAAAGGCUGGUCCUGAGAUCUCCAGACAGCUAAGCAGAAUAUUACACGGGGGAUGGUUUAUUUUAUCUUUGUGUCUCUGUUGUCUAGCAUAGGACAUUGCCACUUAAUAUUUGCUGAAUUGUAUUGGAAGAUUAAGUAUGUACCUGAUGUCCAGAUCUAUUCAAUGUGGAUCUCUUGGGGGGGAUACAAGGUGUGUUAAGGACACAGUCCCAGCUGCUUUGCCCUCAAUUCAAGCUAAGUGUUAGCUCCAUGCUGGGCAUUGUGGCAAAAAAGUGUCAUGCAGGUCCCAAUCCUAAUAGAAUUUAUGAUGUAGCUGAAGAGGAAGG